AGCCUUGUCAACCCAAAUUGCCACCCCUAGCUUCAUGAUACUAUUAUUUUGCUUGAUUUGCUGUUGUAAGUGGUGCUUUAAAAACCUUUUGCAAAGUUUGGUAUUGUGUUGGUUUUUUAGUUGUUUGGCUAUUGAUUGUUUGUUUUAAACAACUUAGAAUUGUUAUAUCAAUGAGAUUACUACAUAUUCAGUUGACUUCUUGUUUUAAUAUUGUUUUGAGUCAUUUAGUGAAUUUUAAAAAGAAUUUUACAG
rnacentral:misc_RNA from 1 species